rnacentral:lncRNA from 1 species
AUGGCCACCAGACCGAGGCUUUCUGGAAUGCAUUCAUUCUCUGCAGUUGAAAGGGAUGAUCCUGGAUCUGAAAGAAAGAGCCACAGUGACUCCAAGAGUGGAGCCAGGGCAUGCUGGACACUGCACAGCUAUGGCCAUGUGUGUCACCACCGAGGGAGAUGUGAGAGAAACGCAGAGGGAUUGCUUGUGACUGUGCCUUCUCGAUGUACGAUGGACCAUUCUGCUCAAAUACAGGAUGGAAUGAUGGCUCACUGAAAACUUAAGAUGACAUGGAAGAUGACAAGGGAGAUGAGAAAGUCCUGCCUAGUAAUGACAGGAAGAUGGGUACAAUGCAGUGACCUCACAGGUCUCCAUUGCCUCAGCUCAGCUCUGAUGAAGAGGCUUAUGUCAUACAGUCUCUUCAGAUGAUUGCAGAGAAAAAGGUGGUGACAGAGAGGCAGAUGUUUUACUGUUUCCACUUCUGGAACUUGCUGCAGGGUAUGAAGAGGGUCAGCACCAGAAAAGGUAUA